AAGCAUCGAGUGGACCAAAGUUCGCGUACAAGCAUUGCAUGAUUUAUAUGAAGCUGCACCUUUAGGAAUGCAAUGCAAUGGAUCCGAUGGAUCUCGACUUCCUGGAUUAUGGGAUAACAUAGCAGCUUCACCAGUUAAACUACCCUUGUCUCCGCCAGCUCGAAAUUGCCCAGAGAUUCAUCAUUAAAA